UGAGGAAUAUUGGUCAAUGGUCGGAAGACUGAACCAGCCAAAUCGCGUGAAGGAAGACAGUAUUAUGUAUCGUAAACUUCUUUUGCAUGGGAAUAAAAAAGGGGACGAGUCCCUUCUUGUAUGUACCAUGCGAAUAAGCAUCGGCUAACUCCGUGCCAGCAGCCACGGUAAUACGGAGGAUGCGAGCGUUAUCCGGAUUUAUUGGGUUUAAAGGGUGCGUAGGUGGUUUUUUAAGUCAGCGGUGAAAUCUUGACGCUUAACGUCAAAAUUGCCGUUGAAACUGGGGAACUUGAGAGCAGACGAGGCAGGCGGAAUUCGUAGUGUAGCGGUGAAAUGCAUAGAUAUCACGAAGAACUCCGAUAGCGCAGGCAGCUUGCCAGACUGCUGCUGACACUGAAGCACGAAAGUGUGGGAAUCAAACAGGAUUAGAUACCCUGGUAGUCCACACUGUAAACGAUGAUUACUCGCUGUUUGCGAUAUACAGCAAGCGGCCAAGCGAAAGCAUUAAGUAAUCCUACCU
rnacentral:rRNA from 1 species